CCUACGGGUGGCAGCAGUCGAGAAUCAUUCACAAUGGGGGAAACCCUGAUGGUGCGACGCCGCGUGGGGGAAUGAAGGUCUUCGGAUUGUAAACCCCUGUCAUGUGGGAGCAAAUUAAAAAGAUAGUACCACACGAGGAAGAGACUGCUAACUCUGUGCCAGCAGCCGCGGUAAUACAGAGGUCUCAAGCGUUGUUCGGAAUCACUGGGCGUAAAGCGUGCGUAGGCUGUUUCGUAAGUCGUGUGUGAAAGGCGCGGGCUCAACCCGCGGACGGCACAUGAUACUGCGAGACUAGAGUAAUGGAGGGGGAACCGGAAUGCUCGGUGUAGCAGUGAAAUGCGUAGAUAUCGAGAGGAACACUCGUGGCGAAGGCGGGUUCCUGGACAUUAACUGACGCUGAGGCACGAAGGCCAGGGGAGCGAAAGGGAUUAGAUACCCUUGUAGUC
rnacentral:rRNA from 1 species